rnacentral:lncRNA from 1 species
CAUCCAUCAUAUUUCAAACUCCAUAUGUCAUAAUCUCUUGCGAUCCUUUUAUACAUAAUCUCAAUGUUUAAUCAAAAUUUUUAAAUAAUUUUUCCACUACAAUCAUCAAAGAUCUACACUAUAAUGUUCCUAGUGUCUAUCCACCUACACCCAUUCUAUAUCUGAUUUUAUAUUUCAUAAUUCAUCCACUUAUGCUCUGAUACCACUAUAAUUAUCACGCCCCC